rnacentral:lncRNA from 1 species
AACAUUUAUCUGUCCCAUUAGCACAAUUGCCACCAUGUUUCUGGCCCUUCUUAUAACAGAUCUCCGCGCAUUGAUAUGAAUCAUUUGGACAAUAUGGCGUAGAAAAGGAUUCAAAAAUUAUACCAUUUGGCAAAUCUACUUCUGCUACAAUCAGUUAAACGCCAUUAGAAAUAUCAUCUAGCAUACAAAAAAUUGUCAUUUCAAACGUAUUGAAUAAAAUUUCGUAAGAUAAAAGUUUCUAAAACCCAAAAAAUAAAAUUGAUAUUUAAAACACCACACUCAAAUUCUACAAUUGCAAAACAUUUAAUCGAAAACACAACAAAAUAUAGUUAAGAAGCUAGUUUGUUACCAGCAAACGUCACCGAAGCAAGACAAAUCAUUGCAGUGAUGAAAAAGAGAAGAUUGAUGUGGGUUGCCAUUAUUUU